UAUUAAUAGUGUAUAGACUUCCUCUUUUGUAUAAAUUACCUUCAUAAUCCAAACACAGUAUUGCCACGCAGCAAAAUGUUGCGUAUAAUCUUUCAUGUCAGCCUGAUAAAAUAUUGAACAAUUUAUGUACAAAGAUAUGUUGAAAUGUCAUGGCAGUACUGUAUUGGCUAGUGCUUUCUCCAAUAUGUUCUUCUAUUUUGCAUUCAAUUGUAUGUCGAUGCCAUUUAUCUUUCAAUAUUUACUUAAUAUAUAUAUAUUAUUUUAAUGCUUGUAAUUCUUUGACACAUUUUCUCUUCCUUUGAAAUUCUUAUAGGACAGAACAUGAACACAAUGCAAUUGGGAUCAAGAAGGUACAGAUAAGUUGUAGGACAGUUGCAUUUGAAGUGUCAAUUUAACCUACAUAGCAGUCAAUACAAACUGAAGUCUAUUAGCAUACAAAUGUGUGCAAAUUAUCUUUUCAGAUGUUCUCAGAAAUGAAUCAAGUCCAUGGAAUGGAUAUAGACAAAAAGAGGACUAGCAGAGGUAGAGAGGACUGGAGACCACAGCAGCGAUUCUGCUCUUGCCCUACCUCUUCAAUGAGGACCCGAGUGGCCUUUAUGUCCUUGACAAUGUAUCAUCUGUUUCUUCAUAAACAUAGAUUUCACCGCUCUUCACUCCUUUACUGCACAUCGGCGGAAAUCCAUUUCACCAUGAGAGUGAAAUCCCGCUGACCUUUGAUGGGGAGAACAUCCACGCCCUUGAGGACGUCCUCAUGGGACUUGGGGCUCUGCUAGGGCUGUAUUAUUUAUUUUCCCUUCAAUUUCCCCAAAAUGUCAGAAAAACACUUAUGUUGUUUUAAGUUACUGUGUUCUGGGGAUAAAUGAAGUUGGGGUGAAGUUACCAGGGCCAUAAUGAUGGCAAACUUCCUAACAUAACUAAGUGGAUAGGAUAUACACACUAAAGCUGAAAAAUCUGUAUUUAGCAUCAAGUCUACAAUAUUGUUAGUUUACCUAUGAUACAUUCAAAAUGAAUGUUGUUUUUAUUGUACAUCAUUAUUUUUUAAUUUGUUGUAAAUGUCAUGAAAAGCACUAUACAAAGUAAAUGUAGUAUUUAUUAUAGUCUGACAUGUCUGCAGAAAUGUUGCAAUUUUGUAAUGUGUUUUGUAAAUAUUAAUUCACAUUUGUGGUGCCACUAAAUUAACAAUGAAUUAUUUAAAUCAAUAUUGUUAUUAUUAUUAAAAUAUUUUUUCAUAAUGGGGAAGGGUGGACAGGGGGUUUUAAAAAAAUUAACCCCAAAAGCUUAUUCGAGGAACUUAUAGGGGUUCCCAGAAAAGGUUAUUCAAAUUACUUUUAGUGGUUCCCCCACAGUUUCAAUUUGAAGAACCCCUAAAGGAUACUCCAGUAACCUUUACUUUUUACAGUGUAUAUUGAUAAAAGUCACCUUGUCCGAGAGACAUUUACAUAGUUAUACACAGCCCAAUAUGGGAUGACUAUUUUGGGGCGAAAUAGUACAUUUUUUACACAAUAAUAAAUGUUUCUGAUGCCACAUCGCCCGUUUUCAAAGGGAGUCGUUGGUUUUUAGGGGCAGUCGCUUUUUAACUUUUUGUCCUUAAGUUUUUUCUUAACUGUGAUACCAACUCCAGUCAGCAGAUGGCGAUGUGCGUCUUUCAGGUGAUUCUGCCACUGGGACGUAUAAUCUAGUGGACGGAACGCUUCUUCAACAACAACAGCUAGUCAGACACCUUGGUACCUUGCUAGGCAAAACAGCCGAAACAUUGAAGUUAUUUGGACUGUGUCGGUGUAUAGCCACUGUGUAAUUACCAGCAUUAUAUCGUAUCUACUUUUCAUUUCAUAUUUAAGUUGUUGUUAGCUAAUUUAGUUGGCUUGAUAAAUUAGCCUAGCACUGCACUAAUGCUA
ensembl:lncRNA